rnacentral:rRNA from 1 species
AACGAACGCUGGCGGCAGGCUUAACACAUGCAAGUCGAACGCCCCGCAAGGGGAGUGGCAGACGGGUGAGUAACGCGUGGGAACGUGCCCUUCGCUUCGGAAUAGCCCCGGGAAACUGGGAGUAAUACCGGAUACGCCGUAUUGGGAAAGAUUUAUCGGCGAAGGAUCGGCCCGCGUUGGAUUAGCUAGUUGGAGGUGUAAUGGACCCCCAAGGCUACGAUCCAUAGCUGGUCUGAGAGGAUGAUCAGCCACACUGGGACUGAGACACGGCCCAGACUCCUACGGGAGGCAGCAGUGGGGAAUCUUGGACAAUGGGCGCAAGCCUGAUCCAGCCAUGCCGCGUGAGUGAAGAAGGCCUUAGGGUUGUAAAACUCUUUCGCCGGAGAAGAUAAUGACGGUAUCCGGAGAAGAAGCCCCGGCUAACUUCGUGCCAGCCGCCGCCGUAA